rnacentral:tRNA from 1 species
UGGGUUGUGGCUCAGUGGUAGAGCACUUGCAUAGCAUGCACAAGGCCCUGGGUUCCAACCCUAGCACCACAA